rnacentral:rRNA from 1 species
GACGAACGCUGGCGGCGUGCUUAACACAUGCAAGUCGAGCGGUAAGGCCCUUUCGGGGGUACGACGAGCGGCGAACGGGUGAGUAACACGUGGGUGACCUGCCCUCAGCUCUGGGAGUAAGCCGGGGAAACCGGGUCUAAUACUGGAUAUGACUCCAUGACGCAUGUUGUGGGGUGGAAAGCCUUGUGCGGCUGAGGAUGGGCCCGCGGCCUAUCAGCUUGUUGGUGGGGUGAUGGCCUACCAAGGCGACGACGGGUAGCCGGCCUGAGAGGGCGACCGGCCACACUGGGACUGAGACACGGCCCAGACUCCUACGGGAGGCAGCAGUGGGGAAUCUUGCGCAAUGGGGCGAAAGCCUGACGCAGCGACGCCGCGUGAGGGAUGACGG